UCAGAAAGGGAGUGUGAUUUGCUUAUAACCUCUGUGGGUCAUCUGAGAGAAAGAAAUAAGAAAAUCCACUGAAUGUCAUUUCUAUGAAAUCCUGAAGCAGAUGUGUCAGUAAAUUGUGCCUCUCUCCCCUGCCACCCACCCUGCAAUCUCUCUUACUUGACCAUGAUCAGGGUGAAGUGAAGGGAUUAUAUAGACACUGGGUUUUAUGAUCACCUCAGCACUUCUCAAUGAACUUGAAGACACAGGAAGAGAAUCCUGUGAUCUCUUCCAAUUGUUUAUUUCUCGCCUUUCAUCAGAGCUUUAGAAAGAAGGAUUUGAGGAAACUGCCAGACUAAAGAAAGAAAAGAAAGUGAUUCUGUGCCUUUUGACAGUCGGUUUCUUCCUGGAGAAAUGCAAGCCAGCAGAGGCCUCUCACUCUUCUAUCUCCGGAAACAUCAGUGUGAUGAGAAGACCUGAUUACUUCCCAGAUACCUCUGCCUCUCAUUGUUGUCAAAUGACUUUCCUUGGUGUCCCUUGAGCUCAAUGCACAUCUGGAGUCCUGGUGGUUUCUUUCAAAAGGAGGAGGAAAAAACUGACAGAUUUGCUCACACACAUAUGUGAAACAUCCAUAGACAUAUGUCUAGACCAACAUAAACUUAUUACAGGCUGUCUCAGAAGUCUGGAUGUUGUUCAUUAAACCCAAUCCAGAAGAGAUAAUUAUGGACCCUUUGCACUGAUAAUUUCAAAUGAAUCACCUCAGCAGUUUGGAGGCUCAGUAAAUAGAGCUCUGGCCCUAGAGACAACAACAACAACAACAACAACAACAACAACAACAACAACAACAACAAAAAAAA